GUGCUCGCUUGGCAGCAUACAUACUAAAAUUGGAACGGUACAGUGAAGAUUAGCAUGGCCCUUGUGCAGGGAUACAUGCAAUUUUGCGAAGUGCUCCCAUUUUUU
rnacentral:snRNA from 1 species